UACAGAGGGUGCAAGCGUUAAUCGGAAUUACUGGGCGUAAAGCGUGCGUAGUCGGUUAUCUAAGUCGGGUGUGAAAUCCCCGGGCUCAACCUGGGAAUUGCAUUCGAUACUGGAUAGCUAGAGUUCGGCAGAGGGAAGCGGAAUUUCGGGUGUAGCGGUGAAAUGCGUAGAUAUCCGAAGGAACAUCAGUGGCGAAGGCGGCUUCCUGGACCAGAACUGACGAUCAGGCACGAAAGCGUGGGGGAGCAAACAGG
rnacentral:rRNA from 1 species